AUAUGUAUAAAUAUUUAGUAAAAGAGAUAGGAUUACGUAGGACGGGCGCAAAUCCUUCCACCGCAAAAUUAAAACUCAACCUCUAUGUUUUCUUAGCUAGCUAUAUAUAUACACACACAUCCAUACAUUUGUUGCUCCAUCUCUUGAUUGAAGAGAUGAAGUCUCCGAUAUCGGUGGCCUACCUUAGUGCGAAAAAGAUUGUGUAUGUGCAUAGUCAAAUACUAAGAAUAAGAGAGGAAGAUUCGCACAUCGGUAGGGUUUGAGCGCCAAAGAUAAGCUCUCUGGCAUAUUGUUUGGCAAAACUUGAGGCGGAUUUGCAUGGUUUGUGACUAAUUCAAAAGAAUCACAAAGUGGAGUAAAGUUCACAAGAUGGUACUGUGAUUAUUUGGAAUAUCUGAAGGGAGAGAAAUCUUAGAUUACAUGAGGAUCAAACAAGGUCUGCUAGCUACUGAUGAAUAUUUGGAAGCACACUCUGUAUGGGGCUUGAGGAUAUGGAGUUGCUUUGAAUUUCUUAAUUCUGUUGUAUUUAUUCUUUUGGUUAGUUUUUUAAAAAUAUUGGUAGUUUAUGUUUUGUAAAAUUUUUCUUAGCUCUGUUUUCUGCUGUAUUUUUUUUGUAUCAAUAAAACUCACCAGAUUCAAGGGGAAAAAAAAGGUAGAAUUUUGUA